rnacentral:lncRNA from 1 species
AUCCAGGCUACGGUACCUCUGUAUUAGAUGGACAGCAUUUCUGCCUAACUGCUGGACUUGUUAUUUGACUCCAGUUAGCUACUCAGUCUUUCCCCACCCCUACCCCUUCCCUGUCAGCUCACCCACACAGGCUUCCUCUAAACAUAAUGAGCUGCCAGGGACGGACAGGGGAGGGGGAGAGAGAACGUAAUUGCUUCCUUUACACAGCUUGUAGGCAGGCAGACAGUUUAGGCAGAGAGACACAGAAGAACACUUGGAGAGAUUGAGAGGAGGCACAACAUUUAAAAAAGAGAGAAGUAAGAUAAAAGGGAAACAAAUCACCAACAGCGCAAAAUAAAAUGGAUCCCAACAAGAUGCCAAAUGCCCCACCACCAGGCUGGAACCCAGAUGAGAAGUCUGGGAUGGGACAACCAGCUCCUCCACCCUACCAGGACCACCCCCAGUACCCCAACACAGGAUACCCUGUACCAGCAGGCUACCCCGCCAAUCCCCAGGGAUACGCCCCUUACGGCCAGCCAUACCCCCAGGGAGAGUACACCCAGUCCACCGUCACAGUCCAGCCUACGGUGUUUGUGACCCGUGGAGCUCUGCCUUACCCUCUGCCAGACUACCUGGGCUACUCCAUUUUCACCAUGCUGUGCUGCUGCCUGCCACUUGGCAUCGCUGCACUUAUCUACUCCAUCUCGACUCGAGACGCCAACAACCAGGGUCAGCAGCAGGUUGCUGAGAGGAGUUCUCGUCUAGCACGGAUACUGAACCACUCCGCCCUGGGUAUCGGCAUCACCGUCAUCAUCCUGUACAUCGUCUACGUCGUCAUCCUGGCCAAAAUUAUCCUGAUCUUGACCACAUACAGUAGGUGCCAGUUACAGGCACUUUCCAAAGAGAUACAUAAUGCUGUUUAUUCAUCAAUGCUUUUUUUUUUUAACUAUAUAUCUAAUGACUUGCUUUUUUAAAUACCUGCAGACAGGAUAGUUUAAAUUGUUAAUUAAUUUGUCUGUUUAAUUUGAAUUUUAAUAUACAUAAAUAAACAACAAAUUAUGGAUACUGAUAGUUUUUUGGACUAUUUCUAAUAAAUGUCUAAAGGAUAGUGUAUGU